CCGGGGGAAGCGGCUGCAGCAGCACCGGCGGCCCCGCAGCCCGCAGCAGCCCCGCCCGCCGCCCUCCGCCCGCCACCUCGGGGCUCCAGAGCUGACUGCGAGUUCAUGGAGCGGGAUGCCUUGGGAAGGGAUAGGACGUCUCCACCUGAGCGAGGAGAGGCACCUGGAGCAGAACGGAGGUGUAAUGCUGAGGAGCUGCAGGGGAGAGCAAGGCUUUGGUCACUUUGGAGUUGGAGAUCUUGAGCCAGGGAAGAGAUCCCAGCGAGAGGAGAAGAGAUGUCCCCAGCCUGACAGCUCCUUCCCGGCUGCGCUCUGCCCGCGCUCUGCCUGAUGUCUCCGUGUUCUCCACGAGGGACCCAACCUGCCAUGGCCCCAGCAAGAGGCAGCAUUGGCUGCUGGAUGUGGAGGGGUUCUGCAUUGCUUCGCACCUGUGGGGAGGGAGCCAGGGGAGGGGAAGUCUGGCAAAAAUCCUACAUAACUCUUGUACAUCACCUCCAGGACCCAAAUACCCCUGGGUAGAG